rnacentral:rRNA from 1 species
UUCCAUUCGUUGCAGUCGUUAGCAGUUAAGAAGCUCGUAGUUGAACCUUGGGUCUGGCUGGCCGGUCCGCCUCACCGCGAGUACUGGUCCGGCUGGACCUUUCCUUCUGGGGAACCUCAUGGCCUUCACUGGCUGUGGGGGGAACCAGGACUUUUACUGUGAAAAAAUUAGAGUGUUCAAAGCAGGCCUUUGCUCGAAUACAUUAGCAUGGAAUAAUAGAAUAGGACGUGCGGUUCUAUUUUGUUGGUUUCUAGGACCGCCGUAAUGAUUAAUAGGGAUAGUCGGGGGCGUCAGUAUUCAGCUGUCAGAGGUGAAAUUCUUGGAUUUGCUGAAGACUAACUACUGCGAAAGCAUUCGCCAAGGAUGUUUUCAUUAAUCAGGGAACGAAAGUUAGGGGAUCGAAGACGAUCAGAUACCGUCGUAGUCUUAACCAUAAACUAUGCCGACUAGGGAUCGGGCGGUGUUUCUAUGAUGACCCGCUCAGCACCUUACCAGAAAUCAAAGUUUUUGGGUUCUGGGGGGAGUAAGGUCACCAGGGGGAAACCUACAAAAUUUUUCGGUGGGACACCUCUAAGAGGGGAGUCGGCCCCGGAAUUUUCCGCCUCC